GUCCUACGGGACGCAGCAGUGAGGAAUAUUGGUCAAUGGGCUUACGCCUGAACCAGCCAAGUCGCGUGAGGGAAGACUGCCCUAUGGGUUGUAAACCUCUUUUGUCAGGGAGCAAUUGGCGCUACGUGUAGCGUUAUCGAGAGUACCUGAAGAAAAAGCAUCGGCUAACUCCGUGCCAGCAGCCGCGGUAAUACGGAGGAUGCGAGCGUUAUCCGGAUUUAUUGGGUUUAAAGGGUGCGUAGGCGGACUGGAAAGUCAGCGAUAAAAUCGAGAGGCUCAACCUCUUUCCGCCGUUGAAACUGUCG
rnacentral:rRNA from 1 species